GACGAACGCUGGCGGCGUGCUUAACACAUGCAAGUCGAACGGAAAGGCCCUGCUUUUGUGGGGUUCUCGAGUGGCGAACGGGUGAGUAACACGUGAGUAACCUGCCCUUGACUUUGGGAUAACUUCAGGAAACUGGGGCUAAUACCGGAUAGGAGCUCCUGCUGCAUGGUGGGGGUUGGAAAGUUUCGGCGGUUGGGGAUGGACUCGCGGCUUAUCAGCUUGUUGGUGGGGUAGUGGCUUACCAAGGCUUUGACGGGUAGCCGGCCUGAGAGGGUGACCGGCCACAUUGGGACUGAGAUAGGGCCCAGACUCCUACGGGAGGCAGCAGUGGGGAAUAUUGCACAAUGGGCGGAAGCCUGAUGCAGCAACGCCGCGUGCGGGAUGACGGCCUUCGGGUUGUAAACCGCUUUCGAAUGUGACGAAGCGUGAGUGACGGUAAUGGGUAAAGAAGCACCGGCUAACUACGUG
rnacentral:rRNA from 1 species